UACAGUGUUACGCACUUCCUGUGGUUCCAGCCGGUCGCAGUCAGAGCAGCGUUACGGGGAUACAAUUUAAACACACAGACAGACUGAGGAGACAACAUGCCCCAAGACAACUGACCUGACUGAGCCAGCGCCUAUAAGACUUAUUCCCGGCGGCAGCAUCUCACUCUGCUUGGCUGUUCUGUUCUGACCAGGCAAGACUGGGACACAAAGAUGAACAUUGUAGGGGUGCGCUGUGCUCUGCUCGUAGGAGGGCUGACCAGCUGCAUGACCACAGUGGUUGACUUCACUUCAAUGGCCGCCAUACAUAUCAACAGAAGACACUGGGAAUCAUUCAGCCUGCAUAGAUAAAUAAAUGCCACUCAUGCAUCCACCCUGAUCCAUCACUCAAUAGCAUCAGCAAUAGCACACACAAAUGUUUGAAGUAACGCGAGGAGAUAUUACUGAAGUUGGGGUUGGUCUGAAUUUGUCUAUCGCGCAAAUGUCUUCUUGGCCUCUUGUUGAGGUAAUAAAGCACAAACUUACUUCUGUA